rnacentral:tRNA from 1 species
ACCUGGGUGGCUCAGCUAGUUGAGCAUCUGACUUUGGCUCAGGUCAUGAUCUCACAGUUCAUGAGUUUGAGCCCCAUCUCGGGCU